rnacentral:rRNA from 1 species
UACGUAGGGUGCAAGCGUUAUCCGGAAUUAUUGGGCGUAAAGAGCUCGUAGGCGGUUUGUCGCGUCUGCUGUGAAAUCCAGAGGCUCAACCUCGGGCCUGCAGUGGGUACGGGCAGACUGGAGUGCGGUAGGGGAGAAUGGAAUUCCUGGUGUAGCGGUGGAAUGCACAGAUAUCAGGAGGAACACCGAUGGCGAAGGCAGUUCUCUGGGCCGUAACUGACGCUGAGGAGCGAAAGCGUGGGGAGCGAACAGG